AACGAACGCUGGCGGCAUGCCUAACACAUGCAAGUCGAACGAGACCUUCGGGACUUUUGGCGCACGGGUGCGUAACGCGUGGGAACCUGCCCUUAGGUUCGGAAUAACUCCCCGAAAGGGGUGCUAAUACCGGAUAAUGUCUUCUGACCAAGGAUUUAUCGCCUUUGGAUGGUCUCGCGUUGGAUUAGCUUGUUGGAAGGGUAAUAGCCUACCAAGGCGACAAUCCAUAGCUGGUCAGAGAGGCUGAUCAGCCACACUGGGAGUAGGACGCGGCCCAGAAUCCUACGGAAGGCAGCAAUGGGGAAUAGUGGAAAAUGGGCGAAAGCCUGAUCCAGCAAUGCUGCGUGAGUGAUGAUGGCAUUAGGGUAGUAAAGCUCUUUUAACCGGGAUGAUAAUGACAGUACCGGGAGAAUAAGCUCCGGCUAACUCCGUG
rnacentral:rRNA from 1 species